rnacentral:rRNA from 1 species
UACGUAGGGCGCAAGCGUUGUCCGGAAUUAUUGGGCGUAAAGAGCUCGUAGGUGGCGUGUCGCGUCUGCCGUGAAAGCCCAUGGCUUAACUGUGGGUCUGCGGUGGAUACGGGCAGGCUAGAGGCUGGUAGGGGCAAGCGGAAUUCCUGGUGUAGCGGUGAAAUGCGCAGAUAUCAGGAGGAACACCGGUGGCGAAGGCGGCUUGCUGGGCCAGUUCUGACGCUGAGACGCGAAAGCGUGGGGAGCAAACAGG